ACUGCCUUUGGCUCAGGUCAUGAUCCCGGAGUCCUGGGAUCGAGUCCCACAUCGGGCUCCCGGCUCAGCAGGGAGCCUGCUUCUCCCUCUGAUCCUAUCCCCUCUCAUGCUGUUUCUCUCUGUCAAAUGGAUAAAUAAAAAAUCUUAAAAAAAAAAAAUGGUUCUAGGGUUUUCUAACAGUGGAGAACAGAUUACCCUUAGAUGAGACAAGGUUUUAAAGAUAAAAAGGGGCAGACUGGCCUAGUGCUUUUCCCAAUGAAGAAUGCUGGUUCUACCCCUUCCUGUAUCUCACAUACAAAGAGGGGCUUCAGGUUUGUGCAGGACUUCUAUCUAUAAGAAAUUAUUACCCAGUGCAGGAGGAGUAAAGGAAACUUAAGUUGGUGAUAUCUUUUCAACACAGGCAUGAAGAAGAGCCCAUCCUGGAUUUUCCUGCCGUGGAACUUCAGAGAAAGGCUGAUUUUUUCCAUGGCUUGUUUUUAUCUACCUCAGCAUUUCCUCUUCUUCAGUUUCUUUCUUCUGAAAGGAGUGCUGGUAAUGGCAAAGGCUGCAGAGCUCCUAAAACCAGACCCCAGGAUUUCCCAUUUCUAACCCUCAGCUGAUCUGCCUGCAAGGAAGAGGGGAAAUGCCAUGGGUUCCAGAUUUAAGGGAAAUUGAGGAUGAAGAAGACCAAAGCACUUGACCGACUGUACGUUGUGAGACCCUUCGGUUCAACAUCAUGAGCCUCAGCUACUUCCUGACUGCUAUCCAUUCCAUCUAUUGAGGUUUCUUUUUCUGCAGAGAGAGAGAGAAAAAAAAAAAGGAGACUGGGUGACUUAAUGGGAGGAGAGAGAGAUGAACAAAGGUUAUGUGGAGAAGAGCAACUGAUGUGUCAAAUGCUAUCGCCCAGGCUUGUUAUGUCAAGGAAAGGCAGAGGAAGGUGGCAAGUGCUGUGUCAAGAAAUGGUCUAAAGCUUCAGGGAAUAUGGUAUCUCAACUGGGUCUCAGCAAUGAGUCGGAUUUCCGCAGAUGAAGGUGGGAGAGGAAGAGCAUGACACAUGACAGCAACUGCAAAGGCUGUGGCCCUGUGACCAAACGGUCUUUUUGUGUUUGGGCUUACUUCCUUGUGAGGUGGGACAUGCCAGCACACUCUGGGAUGGAAAGAGAGAGAGCCAGCACAAGCAGGGAAAGCGGCAGGCAGAGGGAGAAACCUGCUCUCUGCUGAGGAGGGAGCCCAAUGUGGGACUCGAUCCCAGGACCCUGGGAUCAUGACCCGAGCCGAAGGCAGACGCUUAACAGACUGAGCCACCCAGGUGUCCCGAGAUUGCCCCUCUUGUGAAUACAAGAGUUGUGGCGAACUAGAAGAUAGCAGAGGCAAAGGUUGAAGGAAAGACUGAGCACAUCACCUGGAAUGAUGGCCUCCAUCACGUACCUUUCACUUUCCACCUCUAAAACUGUGGAUACAUCUGCUGACCCCUCUGAACAUCAGUUUCCUGAUCUGUCAAACAGGAAUAACAACACCUUGUCAACAUCGGGAAGAUUAGAUAAGGUUUUCCAACACCAUUUGUUGAGGAGACUGUCCUUUUCCCAUUGAAUGGCCUUGGCACCCUUGCUCAAAAUCAACUGACCCCACGCACAAAGGUUUAUUUCUGACUAUUCUAUUCCAUUGGUCUGUGUGUCUGUCUUUAUGCCAGAGCCACACUGUUUUGAUUAC